AUCUGGAAUUUGCAGUGAUUUUUGAGUCUUUUUUUAUGAUUCGAAAGUUUCAGAGCACUACCAGUGUUCGUCUUAGCUAGAUUUGUGGUUCCUAGGUUAAUCUGUUACUAUUUUUUUUUUCUAACCGUGAUCUUGCAUACGCAAAUGUCGCCGGCUAAUGUACUGGGAAGAGCUCUUCGUCAGAUUACCAAAUCCGGUUGAGUCUCUGACCAUUGAUGACGUAAAUAGGCUCAGUUAAUACACAAAUGAGGUUGCAAAGCUGAGGAUGGAAACAAAUUGAAAGAGUUGAAUCUGUGUUAAAUAGUAAAAUUUGUGGAAGUCACAUGGAAAGCAGAGCUCAAAAUCAUUAAAAAAAAAAAAGACUUCUCUACUGCAGAAGAUAGUCACAGUGUGAAAGAUGGCUUUCAGGAGACCACCUUGUAGAAGAUGAAAGCCAAAUGGUUUUCAAAUAGUUGAUAAUUUGGCCCAUCAGCAAAUCUUGGCUUCUAUGGUCUUAACAUAGGAUUAAAGAGUGUGGAGAACUAAAUGAAACGACACAAAAAAACACAAAACUACAGAAAGCAAGUAUAUUUCUAGCUCCCUUCAUUUUGUGUUUCCAUUUAAUCUAUAACAUAUAUCAAGCAGGUUUAGCCUAUUAUUCAAUCAUUUUUAAAAAUCUAAUUACUUCCAAUUAGAUUUUUUCCAUCUCUAUGGAAUAAGUUUAGCCUUCUUAACAUUAACACCUUCACUGUUGACUUCAUCCCCUGCCAAUUGAAUAUUUAAAAUAUAUAUAUAUAUAUAUAUAUAUAUAUAU